CGCGGUCCCCAGUGAGAGGCGACCAAGGGGCAGGCGAGGGUUCGCAGAGAUGCACGUGAUACCUGCUGAACACAUUACUCGGUAAUGACGUCAUUCAAAGCCCUAAAUAUUUAAUAAACUUGUUUCUCCCCCCCGCUACAUAAAAACAUACUUCCCACGAAUGUGGCUGCUUCGAGACGGCUGUGUCAGCACGACAGAGGCCGGCUCACACCGAUGCCUCCAUCCUCCCGCUGCCCGGGUCAGCUCGAGACGCCGCAUCACCUAAUUAGCAGCCCUCAGCAGGAGCUUAAGCAGGACAGACGGGACGAUCUCACGCGACAGGAAGUCUGCAGCCUCAUGAGAUGCGAUAAAAUGAACUCGUCCUGUUUCCCGCUAUCCCUGAAAACUAUGCAGUGGGGACGACAGCUCCCUCCUCCUCGACGGAAACUCUGCAGACCUCUGAGUCUUGUCCUUGUCCUUAGGGAACAGUCUAAAGUCUCCUGCAACAGCAGACAGCAUGGCAGUUUGGGGAGUUAAAAUGAUCCAAGACUAGGAGUUCCCUGGUGGCUCAUCAAGGUAAGGAUCCAGUGGUGUCCCUGCUGUGGCUCUAGUUUGAUCCCUGGCCCAGGAACUUCUACCCAUCAUGGGCGCAGCCAAAGAGAAAAACAAAAUAAUAACGCCAAAGACCGUUAAAACCCCCGACCCUGAUUUCCUAUCAGAUCCCUCUGCCCCCGGCCUGUGUCAGGCCCAAAGCCUGAGGCGGGCAGGGCCGCAGCGUCCCUCUUUUUCCCCCUCGUGCUCCUCCUCCUCCACCAACCCGCGCCUCUACCUGCCAGUCCAGGUGUGUUUGACCCCUGAGGGUCAGGGUUGGGGGGUGAUGAGGGCUAAAGCCAUGGGGAGGGUCUCCCUCCAGCAGGUCCGGCUCUGAGCCCGCUGUGGCUUUUUGGUCUGUCCUGGGGGCACCUUGCUCAGCCGCAGGAAGGCUCUGCUCAGCUCUGGCUCCCUUUGGCUGCGCUUCCUCCCCCGGCCCCACCCACGGCUCAAUCCAACUCCCACCCACCAGGCAGAUUCUUCUCCUGCGUGGCCCGUGUCAGUCAGACCCGCUGGAAACACGGGUCACCCCCCCCCCUCCACCGGACUGAUUCCGACUCAGCCCUCCUCUCUCAGGGAACCACAGGCCCCUUGAGCUGCCUCACAGAUCCGUCUAAGCUCCCUUGGGGACCUGCUUUAAGGCGAGGGCAGCAAACCCCCCACCCCAGUCACCUCAGGAAAAAAAAAAAUCUAAGGAAAGAAAUAAUUCAAGGUUACCCUCUUCUCUCCCCUCUCUCUCAAUCCCUUUAUGUUCUGGAAUCGGGGAGGGGUUCAAGACCACAGGGAGACGUUUCCAAGCAUUUCCUUUUGAGGUUCUACCUAGAAUGACCUGGCUUUGGGAUUUUAUCUUUUGUAUUCUGGCAUCUUGCUCAAAAUUUUGAUUUGGCUGCCCGCCUCUGAAAUGCUUCUUAGUGAGAAAAAUAAACCCCUAUUGUUUCAGCUCA
ensembl:lncRNA